UUUCCUGCUACACAUGUGGGGUGGGGGUGGAGCAGUAUCAGAUCAAAUCAUAUACGUGGAAGCGAGGCCUUCGGAAUUGAUUAAUGCUAGUUCCUGAUUAGGGUUUCAGAACUACGUCACGUUUGCUUAUUCCAUCACACCCCUUCUUUUUGCAUACUUAUUUGUUCCCUGGAGCUGCUCUCAUAGUGUAUACAUCUGUGGUAGCUGAGUUCAGUACAAGUGGAUGGUGCAGGUUCUUAUUUUUCUUUGUUUCUUGCCUUUUUUUUGUUGCAUUCCUCCUUUUCAAAUGAGAAAGAAAUAGGAAGUGAGUAUCCAUGCGGCAAUGUCUGGACUUCCCCUCUGAAUCGUUACAUCCAAUUUAAGGAUGGCAUGUACUACGUGAGAUCUGUGUAUUUAUAUACAUAUAUCAACAUUUAAUGCAUGAGAGUGUAUAUGUGUGUCCUCUUAUCAUGUUCGAGAAAAACGGUGAAAAUCCUUCCGUUGUAGUGCUUUUGUACCUGCGGUAUUUAAUACGUAUGUGUAACUUUUGAGGUAACUUGUGUGACAUUUGAUUUUCCGCCUUGUGGGAUUGUGGUGCCACGGUUGCUGUGAAGAAGAGAAACAUGUUGACGUGUGAAUAUCAUUUUGGAGAUCAAGGCCCUGUUUGUUUGGGCUUCAGCUUUUUCACUUUGGCAAAAGAUCCAAAAAAUCUCAUAAGUAGGUGCUUUUUCCCUUUGGCUUUUGGCUUAUAAUAUCAUAUAAGAAUAUUAAUUUAUAAGUCAAAAGUCUAAGCAAAAAAUCUCUAUUUAGGAGUUUUUAUGACUUUUUUUUACUAAAAUGAAAAAGCUGCAAAAUCAGAAGCACAAACCCAAACAAACAGGGUCUAAAGCAUUACUUUUAGUUCGAAAUAGACCAGGGCAUGUCGCCCACUACAACUUACUGCAGCAACACAAGGCUGGAACGUCUUUGCUCCGAGAUAACCGUGGUGGGAUCUUGACAACCAAUGCCAAGCUUGGCAAAACCGUGUGCAACCCUCUUUUGCAUCACGUUAACAAAGACAGUUCACAAUCACGCGCCGUUUUGGACAAGUCUACCCUCCGCAUCAUUGUGUGUGCAUACACCUACCCUCCGCAUCAUUGUGUGUGCAUACAUAUCCUUGCAUUCCAUUUUAGGUACCUUCGGUGAGGGUUCAUAGUACAUCAACCACCUCCUCUGACCUAUAUGGCGUGUUGAGCUCCUUGCACUCCGCCUUGUUGAAAUAUAUUGCAAGCCUCUCUCCAUUAAUUUAGACUUCUAAAUAAUUGGUUGAAGCUGAAUUCAAUAUGAUAUUAGAGCCAAGAGGCCUCAAGUUUAAGACCAGGCCAACGCAAUAUUAAAAAAAGAUUCUAAUCCCACGUCCUACAUGUGGGACCGGGGGGGGGGGGGUGUUAAAAUAUAUGGUCCGCCUCUCACCAUGUAGCGACCACGAUCCCAAUGGACCGAAGUCUCUGUGCUUAAGUGUCAUCCCUGGAUCGGUAUGCUGACACACACAUUACUCGAGGAAUUAUAACAGAGUUCAAUCACACACUUAUUACAUCGAGGUCCUCAAAAAGAGUGUUUGUUACAUAAAUAAAAUGGCAGAAGCCCAUCUAAACUAAAUAACUGCGGAAGCUUCGAAGGUAAAUGAGUCCAUCAACUCCAACGGCAUAGCUGAGUGCAUGACAACGACCUAUCGCACCUUAUUCUUCGUUGGUAAAGUCUGCAACAUGAGACGUUGCAGCCAUGUAGGUCAGCACAUUGAAUAUGCUGGCAGUGAAGGAAAUAUGCCCUAGAGGCAAUAAUAAAGUUAUUAUUUAUUUCCUUAUAUCAUGAUAAAUGUUUAUUAUUCAUGCUAGAAUUGUAUUAACCGGAAACAUAAUACAUGUGUGAAUACAUAGACAAACAUAGUGUCACUAGUAUGCCUCUACUUGACUAACUCGUUUAUCAAAGAUGGUUAUGUUUCCUAGCCAUGGACAAAAGAGUUGUCAUUUGAUUAACGGGAUCACAACAUUAGGAGAAUGAUGUGAUUGACACGACCCAUUCCGUUAGCCUAGCACUUGAUCGUUUAGUAUGUUGCUAUUGCUUUCUUCAUGACUUAUACAUGUUCCUGUAACUAUGAGAUUAUGCAACUCCCGUUUACCGGAGGAACACUUUGGGUGCUACCAAACGUCACAACGUAACUGGGUGAUUAUAAAAGAGUACUACAGGUGUCUCCAAAGGUACACGUUGGGUUGGCAUACUUCGAGAUUAGGUUUUGUCACUCCAAUUGUCGGAGAGGUAUCUCUGGGCCCUCUCGGUAAUGCACAUCACUAUAAGCCUUGCAAACAAUGUAGCUAAUGAGUUAGUUACGGAAUGAUGCAUUACGUAACGAGUAAAGAGACUUGCCGGUAAUGAGAUUGAACUAGGUAUUGGAUACCGACGAUCGAAUCUCGGGCAAGUAACAUACCGAUGACAAAGGGAACAACGUAUAUUGUUAUGCGAUUUGACCGACAAAGAUCUUCGUAGAAUAUGUAGGAGCCAAUAUGGGCAUCCAGGUUCCGCUAUUGGUUAUUGACCAAGAAUAGUUCUAGGUCAUGUCUACAUAGUUCUCGAACCCGUAGGGUCCGCACGCUUAACGUUACGAUGACAGUUUUAUUAUGAGUUUAUGAGUUUUGAUGUACCGAAGGAGUUGGGAGUCCCAGAUGAGAUCGGGGACAUGACGAGGAGUCUCGAAAUGGUCGAGACGUAAAGAUCGAUAUAUUGGACGACUAUAUUCGGACAUCGGAAGGGUUCCGAGUGAUUCGGGUAUUUUUGGGGGUACCGGAGAGUUACGGGAAUACGAGGAAGAAGCAAUGGGCCUCAUGGGCCAAGUGGUGGAAGAGAGGAGGCAGGGCGCGCGCCCCCCCUAGCCCAAACCGAAUUGGACUAGGGGGUCGGCCCCCCUUUCCUACUCUUCCUCCCUCUCCUUCCUUCUCCUUCUCCUUCCCUUCCUUCCCCUCUCCUAGUUGGACUAGGAAAGGAGGGAGUCCUACUCCCGGUGGGAGUAGGACUCCUCCCUGGCGCGCCCUCCCUUGGCCGGCCACCUCCUCCCCCUUGCUCCUUUAUAUACGGGGGUAGGGGGGCACCCCAUGACACACAAGUUGAUCUACGGAUCGUUCCUUAGCCGUGUGCAGUGCCCCCCUCCACCAUAUUCCACCUCGGUCAUAUCGUCGCGGAGUUUAGGCGAAGCCCUGCGCCGGUAGAACAUCAUCAUCGUCACCACGCCGUCGUGCUGACGGAACUCAUCCCCGACGCUUUGCUGGAUCGGAGCUCGGGGAUCGUCAUCGAGCUGAACGUGUGCUGAACUCGGAGGUGCCGUACGUUCGGUACUUGGAUCGGUCGGAUCGUGAAGACGUACGACUACAUCAACCGCGUUGUCAUAACGCUUCCGCUUACGGUCUACGAGGGUACGUGGACAAUACUCUCCCCUCUCGUUGCUAUGCCAUCACCAUGAUCUUGCGUGUGCGUAGGAAUUUUUUUGAAAUUACUACGUUCCCCAAUAGUGGCAUCCGAGCCUGAUUUUAUGCGUAGAUGUCAUAUGCACGAGUAGAACACAAGUGAGUUGUGGGCGAUACAAGUCAUACUGCUUACCAGCAUGUCAUACUUUGGUUCGGCGGUAUUGUGAGAUGAAGCGGCCCGGACCGACAUUACGCGUACGCUUACGCGAGACUGGUUUCACCGUUACGAGCACUCGUGCUUAAAGGUGGCUGGCGGGUGUCUGUCUCUCUCACUUUAGCUGAAUCGAGUGUGGCUACGCCCGGUCCUUGCGAAGGUUAAAACAACACCAACUUAACGAACUAUCGUUGUGGUUUUGAUGCGUAGGUAAGAACGGUUCUUGCUAAGCCCGUAGCAGCCACGUAAAAUUUGCAACAACAAAGUAGAGGACCUCUAAAUUGUUUUUGCAGGGCAUGUUGUGAUGUGAUAUGGUGAAGACGUGAUACUAUAUUUUAUUGUAUGAGAUGAUCAUGUUUUGUAACCGAAGUUAUCGGCAACUGGUAGGAGCCAUAUGGUUGUCACUUUAUUGUAUGAAAUGCAAACACCCUGUAAUUGCUUUACUUUAUCACUAAGCGGUAGCGAUAGUCGUAGUAGCAAUAGAUGGCGUAACGACAACGAUGCUACGAUGGAGAUCAAGGUGUCGCGCCGGUGACGAUGGUGAUCAUGACGGUGCUUCGGAGAUGGAGAUCACAAGCACAAGAUGAUGAUGGCCAUAUCAUAUCACUUAUAUUGAUUGCAUGUGAUGUUUAUCCUGUAUGCAUCUUAUCUUGCUUUGAUUGACGGUAGCAUUUUAAGAUGAUCUCUCACUAAAAUUAUCAAGAAGUGCUCUCCCUGAGUAUGCACCGUUGUGAAAGUUCUUCGUGCUGAGACACCACGUGAUGAUCGUUUAUGAUAAGCUCUACAUUCAAAUACAACGGGUGCAAAACAGUUGCACACACGGAAUACUCAGGUUAAACUUGACGAGCCUAGCAUAUACAGAUAUGGCCUCGGAACACGGAGACCGAAAGGUCGAACGUGAAUCAUAUAGUAGAUAUGAUCAACAUAGUGAUGUUCACCAUUGAAACUACUCCAUCUCACGUGAUGAUCGGACAUGGUUUAGUUGAUAUGGAUCACGUAAUCACUUAGAGGACUAGAGGGAUGUCUAUCUAAGUGGGAGUUCUUAAGUAAUAUGAUUAAUUGAACUUAAAUUUAUCAUGAACUUAGUCCUGGUAGUAUUUUGCAAAUUAUGUUGUAGAUCAAUAGCUCGCGUUGUUGCUUUCAUAUGUUUAUUUUGAUAUGUUCCUAGAGAAAACUGUGUUGAAAGAUGUUAGUAGCAAUGAUGCGGAUUGGAUCCGUGAUCUGAGGUUUAUCCUCAUUGCUGCACAGAAGAAGUAUGUCCUUGAUGCACCGCUAGGUGACAAACCUAUUGCAGGAGCAGAUGCAGACGUUAUGAACGUUUGGCUAGCUCAAUAUGAUGACUACUUGAUAGUUUAGUGCACCAUGCUUAACAGCUUAGAAUCGGGACUUCAAAGAUGUUUUGAACGUCAUGGACCAUAUGUGAUGUUUCAGGAAUUGAAGUUAGUAUUUCAAGCAAAUACCCGAGUUGAGAGAUAUGAAGUCUCCAACAAGUUCUAUAGCUAAAAGAUGGAGGAGAAUCGCUCAACUAGUGAGCAUGUGCUCAGAUUGUUUGGGUACUUCAAUCGCUUGAAUCAAGUGGGAGUUAAUCUUCCAGAUAAGAUAGUGAUUGACAGAAUUCUCUAGUCACCAUCACCAAGUUAGUAGAACUUCGUGAUGAACUAUAAUAUGCAAGGGAUGACGAAAGUGAUUCUCAAGCUCUUCGAGAUGUUGAAAUCGACGAAGGUAGAAAUCAAGAAAGAGCAUCAAGUGUUGAUGAUUGACAAGACCACUAGUUUCAAGAAAAGGGCAAAGGGAAAGAAAGGGAAACUUCAAGUAGAAUGGCAAACAAGUUGUCACUCCCAUGAAGAAGCCCAAAGCUGGACUUAAGCCUGAAAUGGAGUGCUUCUACUGCAAAGGAAAUGGUCACUGGAAGUGGAACUACUCCAAAUAUUUGGUGGAUAAGAAGGAUGGCAAAGUGAACGAGGGUAUAUUUUGAUAUACAGGUUAUUGAUGUGUACCUUAAUAGUGUUUAUAGUAGCCCCUGAGUAUUUGAUACUUGUUCGGUUGCUAAAAAAUUUAGUAACUCGAAACAGGAGUUACAGAAUAAACAGAGACUAGUUGAAGGGGAAGUGACGAUGAGUGUUGGAAGUAGUUCCAAGAUUGAUAUGAUCAUCAUCACACACUCCCUAUACUUUCGGGAUUAGUGUUAAACCUAAAUAAAUGUUAUUUAGCUUUUGCGUUGAGCAUGAAUAUGAUUUGAUCAUGUUUAUUGCAAUACGGUUAUUCAUUUAAAGUCAGAGAAUAAUUGUUGUUCUGUUUACAUGAAUAAAACCUUCAAUGGUCAUACACCCAAUGAAAUAGUUUAUUGGAUCUCGAUCGUAGUGAUACACAUAUUCAUAAUAUUGAUGCCAAAAGAUGCAAAGUUAAUAAUGAUAGUGCAACUUAUUUGUGGCACUGCCGUUUGGGUCAUAUCGGUGUAAAGCGCAUGAAGAAACUCCAUAAAGAUGGAUUUUUGGAAUCACUUGGUUAUGAAUCAUUUGAUGCUUGCGAACCGUGCCUUUGGGCGAGAUGACUAAAAUUCCGUUCUUCGGAACAAUGGAAUGAGCAACAAACUUGUUGGAAAUAAUACAUACUGAUGUAUGCAGACCAAUGAGUAUUAAGGCUCGUGGCGGGUAUCGUUAUUUUCUGACCUUCACAGAUGAUUUGAGCAGAUAUGGGUAUAUCUACUUGAUGAAACAUAAGUCUGAAAUAGUUGAAAGGUUCAAAGAAUUUCAGAGUGAAGUGGAAAAUCAUCGUAACAAGAAAAUAAAGUUUCUACGAUCUGAUCGUGGAGAUGAAUAUUUGAGUUACGAGUUUGGUAUUCAAUUAAAACAAUGUGGAAUAGUUUCACAAACUCACGCCACCUGGAACACCACAAUGUAAUGGUGUGUCCGAACGUCGUAAUCGUACUUUACUAGAUAUGGUGCGAUCUAUGAUAUCUCUUAUCAGCUUACCACUAUCGUUUUGGGGUUAUGCAUUAGAGACAGCUGCAUUCACGUUUAAUAGGGCACCAUCUAAAUCCGUUGAGACGACACCGUAUGAACUAUGGUUUAGCAGUAAACCUAAGCUGUCAUUUCUUAAAGUUUGGAGUUGCGAUGCUUAUAUGAAAAAGGUUUUCAACCUGAUAAGCUCAAACCCAAAUCGGAGAAGUGCGUCUUCAUAGAAUACCCAAAGGAAACUAUUGGGUACUCCUUCUAUCACAGAUCCGAAGGCAAAACAUUCGUUGCUAAGAAUGGAUCCUUUCUAGAGAAGGAGUUUCUCUUGAAAGAAGUGAGUGGCAGGAAAGUAAGAGCUUGAUAAGGUAAUUUGUACCUUCUCCCGAAUUGGAAAGUAGUUCAUCACAGAAAUCAGUUCCAUUGAUUACUACACCAAUUAGUGAGGAAGCUAAUGAUAUUGAUCAUGAAACUUCAGAUCAAGUUACUACCAAACCUCGUAGGACAACCAGAAUAAGAUCCGCACUAGAGUGGUACGGUAAUCCUGUUCUGGAAGUCAUGUAACUAGACCAUGAUGAACCUACGAACUAUGAGAAAGCGAUGAUGAGCCCAGAUUCCGCAAAAUGGCUGGAGGCCAUGAAAUCUGAGAUAGGAUCCAUGUAUGAAAACAAAGUAUGGACUUUGAUUGACUUGCCCGAUGAUCGGCAAACCAUAGAAAAUAAAUGGAUCUUCAAGAGGAAGACGGACACUGAUAGUAGUGUUACUAUCUACAAAGCUCGACUUGUUGUGAAAGGUUUUUCAACAAGUUCAAGGUGUUGAAUACAAUGAGAUUUUCUCAGUCGUAUCGAUGCUUAAGUCUGUCCGAAUCGUGUUAGCAAUUGCCACAUUUUAUGAAAUAUGGCAAAAGGAUGUCAAAAACUGCAUUCCUUAAUGAAUAUUAUUAAAGAAGAGUUGUAUAUGAUGCAACCAGAAGGUUUUUUCAAUCCUAAAGGUGCUAACAAAGUGUGCAAGCUCCAGCGAUCCAUUUAUGGACUGGUGCAAGCAUCUCGGAGUUGGAAUAUACGCUUUGAUGAGUUGAUCAAAGCAUAUGGUUUUAUACAGACUUUUUGAGAAGCCUGUAUUUACAAGAAAGUGAGUGGGAGCUCUGUGGCAUUUCUAAUAUUAUAUGUGGAUGACAUAUUGUUGAUUGGAAAUGAUAUAGAAAUUCUGGAUAGCAUGAAAGGAUACUUGAAUAAGAGUGUUUCAAAGCAAGACCUCGGUGAAGCUGCUUACACAUUGAGCAUCAAGAUCUAUAUAGAUAGAUCAAGACGCUUGAUAAGAUUUUUCAAUGAAUACCUUGAUAAAUUUUUGAAAUAGUUCAAAAUGGAACAGUCAAAGAAGGAGUUCUUGCCUGUGUUGCAAGGUGUGAAGUUGAGUAAGACUCAAGACCCGACCAUGGCAGAAAAUAGAAAGAGAAUGAAAAGUCAUUCCCUAUGCCUCAAUCAUAGGUUCUAUAAAGUAUGCUAUGCUGUGAACCAGACCUGUUCUAUACCUUGCUCUGAGUUUGACAAAGGAAUACAAUUUUGAUCUAAGAGUAAAUCACUAGACAACGGUCAACAAUAUCCUUAGUGAGAACUAAGGAGAUGUUUCUCGAUUAUGGAGGUGAUAAAAGAACCCGUCGUAAAAAGUUACAACAAUGCAAGCUUUUACACCAAUCCAGAUGACUCUAAGUCUCAAUCUGGAUACAUAUUGAAAGUGGGAGCAAUUAGCUAGAGUAGUUCCGUGCAGAGCAUUGUGGACAUAGAAUAUUUGCAAAAUACAUACGACUCUGAAUAUGACAGACCCGUUGACUAAACUUCUCUCGCAAGCAAAACAUGAUCAUACCUUAGUACUCUUUGGGUGUUAAUCACAUAGCAAUGUGAACUAGAUUAUUGACUCUAGUAAACCCUUUGGGUUUGAUCACAUGACGAUGUGAACUAUGGGUAUUAAUCACAUAAAGAUGUGAAUAUUGGUGUUAAAUCACAUGGCGAUGUGAACUAGAUUAUUGACUCUAGUGCAAGUGGGAGACUGAAGGAAAUAUGCCCUAGAGGCAAUAAUAAAGUUAUUAUUUAUUUCCUUAUAUCAUGAUAAAUUUUUAUUAUUCAUGCUAGAAUUGUAUUAACCGGAAACAUAAUACAUGUGUGAAUACAUAGACAAACAUAGUGUCACUAGUAUGCCUCUACUUGACUAGCUCGUUUAUCAAAGAUGGUUAUGUUUCCUAGCCAUGGACAAAAGAGUUGUCAUUUGAUUAACGGGAUCACAUCAUUAGGAGAAUGAUGUGAUUGACAUGACCCAUUCCGUUAGCCUAGCACUUGAUCGUUUAGUAUGUUGCUAUUGCUUUCUUCAUGACUUAUACAUGUUCCUGUAACUAUGAGAUUAUGCAACUCCCGUUUACCGGAGGAACACUUUGGGUGCUACCAAACGUCACAACGUAACUGGGUGAUUAUAAAGGAGUACUACAGGUGUCUCCAAAGGUACAUGUUGGGUUGGCGUAUUUCGAGAUUAGGUUUUGUCACUCCGAUUGUCGGAGAGGUAUCUCUGGGCCCUCUCGGUAAUGCACAUCACUAUAAGCCUUGCAAACAAUGUAGCUAAUGAGUUAGUUACGGAAUGAUGCAUUACGUAACGAGUAAAGAGACUUGCCGGUAACGAGAUUGAACUAGGUAUUGGAUACCGACGAUCGAAUCUCGGGCAAGUAACAUACCGAUGACAAAGGGAACAACGUAUGUUGUUAUGCGAUUUGACAGAUAAAGAUCUUCGUAGAAUAUGUAGGAGCCAAUAUGGGCAUCCAGGUUCCGCUAUUGGUUAUUGACCAAGAAUAGUUCUAGGUCAUGUCUACAUAGUUCUCGAACCCGUAGGGUCCGCACGCUUAACGUUACGAUGACAGUUUUAUUAUGAGUUUAUGAGUUUUGAUGUACCGAAGGAGUUCGGAGUCCCGGAUGAGAUCGGGGACAUGACGAGGAGUCUCGAAAUGGUCGUGAUGUAAAGAUCGAUAUAUUGGACGACUAUAUUCGGAUACCGGAAGGGUUCCGAGUGAUUCGGGUAUUUUCGGGGGUACCGGGGAGUUACGGGAAUACGAGGAAGAAGCAAUGGGCCUCAUGGGCCAAGUGGUGGAAGAGAGGAGGCAGGGCGCGCGCCCCCCCUAGCCCAAACCGAAUUGGACUAGGGGGCCGGCCCCCCUUUCCUACUCUUCCUCCCUCUCCUUCCUUCUCCUUCUCCUUCCCUUCCUUCCCCUCUCCUAGUUGGACUAGGAAAGGAGGGAGUCCUACGCCCGGUGGGAGUAGGACUCCUCCCUGGCGCGCCCUCCCUUGGCCGGCCGCCUCCUCCCCCUUGCUCCUUUAUAUACGGGGGCAGGGGGGCACCCCAUGACACACAAGUUGAUCUACGGCUCGUUCCUUAGCCGUGUGCGGUGCCCCCCUCCACCAUAUUCCACCUCGGUCAUAUCGUCGCGGAGUUUAGGCGAAGCCCUGCGCCGGUAGAACAUCAUCAUCAUCACCACUCCGUCGUGCUGACGGAACUCAUCCCCGACGCUUUGCUGGAUCGGAGCUCGGGGAUCGUCAUCGAGCUGAACGUGUGCUGAACUCGGAGGUGCCGUAUGUUCGGUACUUGGAUCGGUCGGAUCGUGAAGACAUACGACUACAUCAACCGCGGUGUCAUAACGCUUCCGCUUAUGGUCUACGAGGGUACGUGGACAAUACUCUCCCCUCUCGUUGCUAUGCCAUCACCAUGAUCUUGCGUGUGCGUAGGAAUUUUUUUGAAAUUACUACGUUCCCCAACAGGCAGAGCUACACUGUAAAGCAAUGAAUGCAAGAAACUAUAUCUACAUGCAUAUUUGACUGGUGGAGGCUCUAAGUUUAAUAUUUUGCAUAAAGCUAAUUUUCCCCUACAACAAAGGAAUAAAUUUUAUUUACUACAAAGUUAAACCAAUAUUUGAGAAGGUUCCUCCAACUCAAAUCCCGUCAUUAAACAAGUAUCAUCAUUAAACCCAAUUCAUUAAUUAAAGAGUGAUGAGAUCAACAAUAAUAUCCACUUCUAGAUACUCAAGAUGUCCAUAACCGGGGACACGACUAACCAUGAUUAGUUUAUACACUCUACAGAGGUUGCACACUUUUCCUCACAAGACUCGACCGUAUCCAUGAUCGGAAGAUCGAGACAUAGUCUUUCUGAAGCAUUAACUCUCUACUCUGGGUAGACCGGUACACCUACUUUUCCCUACAUCUGCUAGUCCACCUCUUCAAGAGAUCAUACAACUUACUCAACUACGCCAGAGCCCAUAAUGGCUUGUGGAAGCACACGGAAGUUUCUAGGCAUGAAAUAUCAUAUGAUCCCUUUGAGCCUGGGUGGCAAACCGAGGAAAAAUCACACGGGUACUCCGGGAUUUCCCAAACGAGCAAGCACUGGUUUCUCCAGAUGCCCCAACCAAUCCACCCAAAUGUGUAUUAAAGUUGUCACCUUAAUGUUAUCCAAAAUUAUUAACUCUCACAACUUCCAUGUACAUCACGAUCCAAUCCCCGUCUACGAGCAUGGCUAAGCAAUAAUUGAGCAUAACAUAUAUUCCCGGGGUGAUCAAAGGUAAUAGGUUCCUACCUCAAGUACUACAACAAAAGCACAUGUUCCCAAUCCUACUCAUGCAAAUAUUUGAGGGGCAAAACUAAUGCAUAGUAAAAACUGGGUAUAAAAGGUAUGAUCAAAGUGUAACUUGCCUUGUUGACGAUCGGAAAACUCUAGAGAUUCGUAGUAACAAGCUUCGGACUUCAGAUAAUCUAGCAUAGACAAACAAUAUCAUACAUAAGCAAUCAAGCAAACGAUACAAAGAGAAAUCGAGAAAAGAUCCAAAUAAAACUCGAAACAAGCACACAACUAAACUAAACAUAAAAGAAAUUUUAACAACAUUAUUUUCAUGUGGAUUAGAUCUUAAUAGUAGGUACAUGUGAUUAACUACGAUUUGCAAAAAGAAUCAACUCAAACAGAGCUACGAAACUCAAGAAGCAAACGAAACAAGGUCGAAUACUAAUCUGAACUAAACUCAAAUUUUAAAUUGUCAAAAUCAUGUUCAAGUUGGUUUACUGGAAAGAGGGGAUCGUUACGAAGAUUUAGGCGUUGGUUUCAUCUAAUUUUGAUAAACGAGCUAAAAGUUACGCUAGUUUGAAAAUCAGAGGCUAAAUCACGAUAAAAGUAUUCGCGGAUAGGUCCCUAGGCGAAAAAUAAAUAGAAAAAGAAAAAUCUAUCGGACGAACGUCUGCUAACAGAGACUAAGGAACGAACUCAUUCGUUAACAGAACCAAUCGGAUGAACGUCCAAUAUUUGAACUGAAUAAAAAAUAAAACAGAUCUAAACCGAAACUUCUAGAAAAACCGAAAAUAAACCGGCGAACCGGGACGGCUUUAUACCGGACCGGUCAACGGCGGGGCGAGGCGUGAUGGCGGCGGCUCGGCGGCUUCUGCGGUGACUCCUGCGGCGGGCUUCGGGUGCGGGUGGUGNNNNNNNNNNNNNNNNNNNNNNNNNNNNNNNNNNNNNNNNNNNNNNNNNNNNNNNNNNNNNNNNNNNNNNNNNNNNNNNNNNNNNNNNNNNNNNNNNNNNNNNNNNNNNNNNNNNNNNNNNNNNNNNNNNNNNNNNNNNNNNNNNNNNNNNNNNNNNNNNNNNNNNNNNNNNNNNNNNNNNNNNNNNNNNNNNNNNNNNNNNNNNNNNNNNNNNNNNNNNNNNNNNNNNNNNNNNNNNNNNNNNNNNNNNNNNNNNNNNNNNNNNNNNNNNNNNNNNNNNNNNNNNNNNNNNNNNNNNNNNNNNNNNNNNNNNNNNNNNNNNNNNNNNNNNNNNNNNNNNNNNNNNNNNNNNNNNNNNNNNNNNNNNNNNNNNNNNNNNNNNNNNNNNNNNNNNNNNNNNNNNNNNNNNNNNNNNNNNNNNNNNNNNNNNNNNNNNGGCGCGGAUCGGCAGCGGCGGGCGGCGCGGUGGUGGCGGCUUGAGCGGCGGUGACUUGAGGGUGGAGGGGGUCGGCGGGUCGGCUUUUAAAGCCCGGGGGAGGCCGACUUGGGCGGGGGGUCGCGGCGGCGGGGCGGGCUCGGACUCUGGCGGGAGUCCGGCGCGGGCAUGGUGUUGAGGGCGGUGGCGCGAGCUGGGCUUGGCCUGGCUCUCGGCCGGCCCAGUCGGCACGCGUGACGUUUUUUUAAACAGUGCCGCGAAGAAAAAUCCUAAUAAAAUAAAAUAAAAAUCCUAAAAAUUCUAGCAACAAUUUUCACCAUUCCUGCCUAAUAUUUGGGACAAAGUGAACAUUUUUCUGGACUAAAUGCAAUUUUAAAAAUGCAUGUUUUCUCUAAUUCAACCGAAUAAAAUUGCAAAUAAAAUUCAAAUUAAAUAAUUUGAUUUCCAACAUUUCUCCUCUGUUUUGAAGAAGUCCUUUUAUCUUCUCUUUUUUAUUUUUAUUGUUUUUGAAAUAAUUGGAAAGAAUUUGUUGAAAUCAAAUUGAUCCAUUUUUUCAAAUUUGAAUAAGUUCAAAAAUGAAAAUUUAUGAAACCUCCAACUCUCUCCUUGGGUCCUUGAGUUACUUAGGAUUUCUUGGAUCACAACCAAAUAAAAUCCAAAAUGCAAAUAAAUAAUGAAUGCAUAUGAAUGUUUUAUGUAUAACAUCCAAAUUGAAAAAUUGGGAUGUUACAAACCUACCCCCCUUAAGAUGAAUCUCGCCCUCGAGAUUCGGGUUGGUCAGCAAAAAGGUGCGGGUGGUCCUUGCGGAGAUCUUCUUCUCGCUCCCAGGUAACUUCCUCCUCGGUAUGGUGGCUCCACUGAACUUUGCAGAACUUGAUGACUUUGUUGUGAGUAACUCGGCUGGAAAAUUCGAGAAUCUUGACUGACUUCUCUUCAUAGGUUAGAUCACUAUCCAACUGAAUUGCUUCCAGUGGCAUUGUAUCUCUUAGAGGAAUGUCGGCCAUCUCUGCGUGGCACUUCUUCAACUGGGACGUGAAACACAUCAUGAACUCCUGACAAUCCUUCGGGCAAUUCCAACUUGUAGGCAACUUCUCCCAUGCAUUCCAAAACUCUAUAUGGUCCUACAAAUCGUGGUGCUAGCUUCCCUUUGACUCCAAAACGCUUAACUCCUCGAAGUGGGGAUACACGAAGAUAUGCUCGGUCUCCGACUUCGUAGGCUACCUCUUUGCGUUUAGUAUCUGCAUAACUCUUCUGCCUGGAAUGGGCUAUCUUGAGUCUGUCUCGAAUCAACUUAACCUUCUCCUCAGAAUCUCUGAUUAAAUCUGGUCCGAACAACUGUGUAUCUCCAACUUCAUCCCAUGAUAAUGGUAUCCUGCACCUCCUUCCAUAUAAGGCUUCGAAAGGGGCCAUCUUCAAACUGGCUUGAUAACUGUUGUUAUAAGAAAACUCUGCAUAGGGUAAAUUAUCAUCCCAACUAAAUCCAUAAUCUAGCGCACAAUCUCUCAACAUGUCCUCGAGAAUCUGAUUGAAUCUCUCGGUAUGUCCAUCUGUCUGUGGAUGAAAGGCUGUACUGAACUCUAGCCUGGUACCCAAAGUUUCGUGCAACCGAUUCCAAAACUUCAAAGUAAACUGUGUUCCUCUAUCUGAUACGAUGGUCCUCGGAACUCCAUGUAGACACAUGAUCCCGGUCAUGUAUAUCUUCGCCAACUUAGCACUCAUAUAAGUUGUCUUCACAGGGAUGAAAUGGGCUACUUUCGUCAAGCGAUCAACUACAACCCAGAUAGAGUCAUAGCCUGAACGGGUCCUAGGUAAUCCAGUGAUAAAAUCCAUGCCAAGUUUAUCCCACUUUCAUUCGGGUAUCAGCAAUGGUUGAAGUAACCCUGCUGGUUUCUGAUGCUCUGCCUUAACUCUCUCACAUACAUCGCAUACGGCUACAUACUCUGCAAUAUCCUUCUUCAUUCCUGUCCAUCAGAAACUUUCCUUCAAAUUCAGAUACAUCUUGGUGUUGCCUGGGUGAAUUGAAUAAGGCAAAUCAUGAGCCUCCUGAAGAAUCAACUUCCUGAUCUCAGGGUCAUUAGGCACAUAGAUGCGAUCCUCAAACCUAAAGUCUUCGUGUUCAUCCUCAUGAAACCCUUUAGCUUUUCCUUUACUAUCCUUUCCUUUAUCUCUGCAAUCUCCUUGUCCGUCUUCUAGGCUUCUCUGAUCUUUCCCAACAAAGUGGACUGAAUUUCCAAUGCUACAACAUAACCUCUCGGAACUAUCUCCAAGCGUAGUUCUUGGAGAUCAUCUGCUAACUCCUGAGGUAAUCCUCUGGUUAUGAGCGUGUUAACAUAACUCUUGCGGCUCAAUGCAUCUGCUACGACAUUGGCCUUUCCUGGAUGAUAAUGCAAUCUCAUGUCGUAAUCCUUUAUGAGCUCCAACCAUGUCCUUUGCCUUAGGUUCAACUCCUUCUGCGUGUACUUCAAACUCUUAUGAUCCGUGUAAACAUCACAACGGUUACCGAUGAGAAAGUGUCUCCAUGUCUUGAGCGCAUGCACUACGACUGCUAACUCCAAAUCAUGCAUAGCAUAAUUCAACUCAUGAGAUCGAAGUUGUCGUGAGGCAUAUGAAACAACUCUUCCGUCCUGCAUAAGAACACCUCCAAGUCCCUGAUGUGAAGCGUCGCAGUAAACUUGGAAAUCCUUGCGUAUGUCUGGGAGAAUCAGCACUAGGCUGUAACCAAACGUUUCUUCAACUCCUGAAAACUUUCCUCACAAUCCCCAAUCCAUUUAAACUUGGUGUCCUUCUUCAAUAACCUGUCAUGGGCUUCACAAUCUUGGAAAAAAUCUCAAUAAAUCUCCGGUAAUAACCUGCGAGUCCAAGAAAACUCCUGAUCUCUCCAACUGAGGUGGGUGCCAACCACUCAGUGACAAAUGCAACCUUGGUAGGGUCUACUGCUAUUCCUUCUCCUGAUAUAACAACGAAAUCCAACUUCCUUCAACCAAAACUCGCAUUUGCUGAACUUGGCAUACAACUGAUGUUCCCUGAGCUUCUCGAGAACCAAGCGCAAAUGUUCCUUAUGCUCUUCUUCAUUCUUUGAGUAGACCAAUAUAUCAUCAAUGAACACCACGACAAACUUGUCCAAAAACUCCAUGAACACCUUGUUCAUCAUACUCAUGAAAUAGGCAGGGGCAUUAGCCAAACCAAAUAACAUAACUGUAUACUCAUAUAGCCCAUAUCUCGUGGUAAAAGCUGUUUUAGGUAUAUCCUGCUCUCGGAUCUUCAGCUGGUGAUAACCUGAUCGAAGAUCAAUCUUGGAGAAAACCUUAGCUCCCUGCAGCUGGUCAAACAAAUCAUUGAUCAUCGGCAGAGAGUAUUUGUUCUUGAUCAUCACCUCAUUCAGUGCAUGAUAAUCAACAACCAUCCUCAAAGAUCCAUCCUUCUCAACUAGAAGCACUGGGGCUCCCCAAGGUGAUGAACUUGGUCAAAUAUAACCUUUCUCUAGUAACUCCUUUAUCUGCUUCUUAAUUUCCUCCAGAUCAUUUGUGGGCAUCCGAUACGGCCUCUUGGAUAUUGGUCCGGUGCCUGGCAAUAACUCAAUCAAAAACUAAAUAUUUUGAUCUGGUGGCAUGCCUGGUAACUCCUCCGAAAAUACAUCGGGGUAAUCCUUCACUACUGGUACUUCCUCCCAAACAACUCCAGAUAGUGAAUUUACCUGUGUCCUCCUCGGCGUAUGCCUAGACACAUACUUGAUCCUUUUUCCUUCCUGGGUGGUGAGAAGAAUUGAUUUACUGGCGCAAUCGACAUUUCCCUCAAACUUGGAUAGCCAAUCCAUGCCUAGGAUCACGUCCAAUCCUUGUGACUCUAGGACAAUAAGGUCGGUGGGGAAAACAUGUCUACCUAUGGUUACUGGCAAUUGAUAACAUCCCCUACUAGCCAUAUACUCUGCUCCUGGGGAACUCACUAACAUAGGUGACAUAAGAGCUACGAUUGGCAACUUGAACUUGUCCACAAAUCCCCUUGAUAUGAAUGAAUGAGAUGCACCAGUAUCGAAAAGAACAAGUGAUGUAAAUGCAUUAAUCAAAAACUUACCAACAACUGUGUCGGGCUACUCCUCAAUCUCCUCCACACUGAUGUGGUUCACCUGACCUUUGGUGAAGGGGUUGGGCUUCUUUCCAGAACUUCUGUUGCCAUUUCCAUUCUUUGCUUCAGAACAUUCAGUGGCGUAAUGUUCGAUCUUCCCGCACUUGAAACAAGUAACAUGACUCAGAUCCUUCUUGGCAGGUGUUGCGAGGUUGGAACGGUUCUGACUGUUGCUUCCUCCAUUCCCAUUGCCAUUCUUAGGGCCACUAUGGUUGUGUGAACUUCCUCCAUUGUGCGUAUGUCCUCCAUGGUUAUGGCCUCCAUGGUUAUGAGUAUGUCCUCCCGAGUACGGGGAAUAGCAAGGCUUCUGCUGAGCUCCAGAAUUGUACCUCCCUGUCCGUACUUCCUCUUGCGAUUAUCAAUCUAUUGCUGCUUGCCUUCUAUCAUGAGGGCCCUAUCUACCAACUCCUGGUAUUUGUUGAAAGUUGCCACCAUCAACUGAAUACUUAGCUCAUCAUUGAGUCCCUCAAGAAACUUCUCCUACUUCGCGGCAUCUGUGGCCACAUCAUCUGGGGCAUAGCGUGCUAGCUUGCUGAACUCAUCCACAUACUGUCCCAUUGUACGACUCCCUUGGCGUAAGUUGCGAAACUCGCGCUUCUUCAAAUUCAUAGCUCCAGCUGAAACAUGUACGGUGCAGAAGGCCUGCUGAAACUGAUCCCAUGUAAUAGUAGCUAUGGGGUAUGUGGUGGUGAAGUUCUCCCACCAAGAUGCUGCGGGUCCAUCAAGCUGAUGCGCGGCAAAGCACACUCUCUCCGCAUCUAUGCAUCCUGCAAUGGUCAGCUCUCUCCCAAUCUUGCGGAGCCAAUCAUCUGCAACAAUUGGCUCGGUGCUGCUAGAGAACACCGGCGGAUUUGACCUCAGAAAACGGUCUAGGUUGUCAACACGGGGUGGUGGCAGUGGGUUGUUGUUGUUGCCUUAGUUCUGGUUCUGGUUCUAGACUAACAUCUGCAUCAAGGUAUUCUGUUGCUGUAUCAACUGGGUGAGCUCCAGUGGAAACACGAAUCUGGUGUCACGUCUCGGAGGCAUCUGAUGGUUUAGAAGGGGUGAAAAAAUAGAAUAGAAUAAGGUCUAAGAGAGAUUUCACUACCCAUAUGUAUAUGAGGCAAAUACAAUCAAUUCACUUCAUUCAAAUCAAACAAGGUUCACACAAAUGAUCUAAACUACGAUUACAAAUCGAUCGAAGCUAACUACUUGGAAGAAUACUACUAGUAACAUGGUGGUCGUCUAGAAAUUUUGAUCGGUGGAAGACUCCAUAAUAUUUGCUCCAGCUUCAUCUACGUAGUCGUCAUCACUAUCAUCAUUUGCAUCACUGUCCGUGUCGGUGUCGUCCAAGAUGAUGUAGUCCUCAGAACGAAUCUCCCCUUCAGGUUCUCGCUUCUGGUUCUCCACGGGUAUUCCUAGCUUCUUCUUCAGGUCUUCAUGCUUCUCCAGGAGCACAUCAAUUUCUUCUUCAUAUCCAUCAUGUGUUGACUUGACUUCCUCUUCUAGCUCGAUAUUCCUCUUCAUCAGCUUCUUGGUCUUCUUCAUGAUAGAUCACAUCUGGUUCUCGUAUCAGCGAAUGUGCUGAUCCAUCUCCUGAAUGUAAGCUGCAAUUGAUCCAUCCUUCCUGGUACGAAACAUCUCUCAUUCCUCAUCUCGGCAUCCACAUAUCUGAUAGACGGUGUCUUCAAGCUCCUUAUGGUACACCUCACAAAUGCGUCCAAAUGUGAUGUGGGCUGCCAUGCUCUUUCCCAAGUUCCAACUUGGUGCAUCCAAAGUAAAAUCAAUGGGUUCCGUUGUUGGCGCAAACGUCCUCCCAGGUACACGAACUUUGAUUCUCCAGCGCUCCUCUUUCGGUAAAGUUGCAGAGAAAGUUCCAGUGAAGCUUGGUAGUCUGAUGUUUAGGUACUUUGUGACUUCCUUCAAGUGUCGUCCGAAAGGGGUGUCCUCAUCCGGCUGAGUGAACUUGUUCCUGGGAUCCGCCAUCUAUAGAGUAGAAAUAGAGGAGAAUUAGAAAUGAGCAAAGAAGAGUAAUCCUGUGGCUUUUCCUAGUGGUCGGGUCCUACAGUUAGCGUGUGCUCUGAUACCAUCUUGUAGCGACCAUAAUCCCAAUGGACCAAAAUCUUUGUGCUUAAGUGUCAUCCCUAGAUCGGUAUGCUGACACACACAGUUCUCGAGGAAUUAUAACAGAGUUCAAUCACACACUUAUUACAUCGAGGUCCUCAAAAAUUGUAUCUGUUACAUAAAUAAAAUGGCGGAAGGCCAUCUAAACUAAAUAACAGCAGAAGCUUCAAAGGUAAAUGAGUCCAUCAACUCCAACGGCAUAGCUGAGUGAAUGGCAAUGACCUAUCACACCUUAUUCUUCGUUGGUAACGUCUGCAACAUGAGACGUUGCAUCCAUGUAGGUCAGCACAUUGAAUAUGCUGGCAGAGUUACAAUGUAAAGCAAUGAAUGCAAGAAACUAUAUCUACAUGCAUAUUUGGCUGGUGAAGGCUCUAAGUUUAAUAUUUUGCAUAAAUUUAAUUUUUCCCUACAACAAAGGAAUAAAUUUUAUUUACUACAAAGUUAAACAGAUAUUUGAGAAGGUUCCUCCAACUCAAAUCCCGUCAUUAAACAAGUAUCACCAUUAAACCCAAUUCAUUAAUUAAAGAGUGAUGAGAUCAACAAUAAUAUCCACUUCUAGAUACUCAAGAUGUGCAUAACCGGGGACACGGCUAACCAUGAUUAGUUUAUACACUCUGCAGAGGUUGCACACUUUUUCCCAUAAGACUCGACCGCAUCCAUGAUCGGAAGAUCGAGACAUAGUCUUUCUAAAGCAUUAACUCUCUACUCUGGGUAGACUAGUACACCUACUUUCCCCUACAUGUGCUAGUCCACCUCUUCAAGAGCUCAUACAACUUACUCAACUAUGCCAGAGCCCAUAAUGGCUUGUGGCUGCACACGGAAGUUUCUAGGCAUGAAAUAUCAUAUGAUCCCUUUGAGCCUGGGUGGCGAACCGAGAAAAAAUCACAUGGGUACUCCGGGAUUUCCCAAAUGGGCAAGCACUGGUUUCCCUAGAUGCCGCAACCAAUCCACCCAGAUGUGUAUUAAAGUUGCCACCUUAAUGUUAUCCAAAAUUAUUAACUCUCACAACUUCCAUGUAGAUCACGAUCCAAUCCCCGUCUACGAGGCUGGCUAAGCAAUAAUUGAGCAUAACUUAUAUUCCCGGGGUGAUCAAAGGUAAUAGGUUCCUACGUCAAGUACUACAACCAAAGCACAUGUUCCCAAUCCUACUCAUGCAAAUAUUUGAGGGGCAAAACUAAUGCAUAGUAAAACUCGAAACAAGCACACGACUAAACUAAACAUAAAACAAAUUCUAACAGCAUUAUUUUCAUGUGGAUUAUAUCUUAACAAUAGGUACAUGUGAUUAACUUUGAUUUGCAAAAAGAAUCAACUCAAACAGAGCUACGAAACUCAAGAAGCAAACGAAACAAGAUCGAAUACUAAUCUGAAUUAAACUCAAAUUUUAAAUUGUCAAAAUCAUGUUCAAGUUGUUUUCUAGAAAGAGGGGAUCGUUAUGAAGAUUUAGGCAUUGGUUUCAUCUAAUUUUGACAAACGAGCUAAAAGUUAGGCUAGUUUGAAAUCAGGGGCUAAAUCAUGAUAAAAGUAUUCGCGGAUAGGUCCCUGGGUGAAAAAUAAACAGAAAAAUAAAAAUCUAUCAGACGAACCUCCACUAACAGAGAUUAACGAACGAACUCGUUCAUUAACAGAACGAAUCGGAUGAACAUCCGAUAUUUAAACUAAAUAAAAAAAUAAAACCGAUCUAAACCGAAACUUCUAAAAAACCGGAAAUAAACCGACGAACCAGGACGGGUUUAUACCGGAUCGGUCAACGGCGCCUCCGGCGAGGUCAACAGCGGGGCGAGGCGCGACGAUGGUGGCUCGGUGGCUUCGGCGGCAACUCCGGCUGCGGGGUUCGGAAGCGGGUGGCAGCGGCGCAGCAGCAUCGGCAGGCGGCGAGCGGCGCGGUGGUGGCGGCUUGAGCGACGGCGACUUGAGGGUGGAGGGGGUCGACUUUUAAAGCCCGGGGGGAGGCCAACUUGGGCAGGGGGUCGCGGCGGCGGGGCGUGCUCGGACUCCAGCGGGAGUCUGGCGCGGGCACGGGGUUGAGGGCGGUGGCGCCAGCUGGGCUUGGCGUGGCUUCGGCUGGGCCGGCCCAGUCGGCACACGCGACUUUUUCUUGAAACAGCCCCGCGAAGAAAAAUCCUAUUAAAACAAAAUAAAAAUCCUAAAAAUUCCGGAAACAAUUUUCACCAUCUGCCUAAUAUUUGGGACAAAGUGAACAUUUUUCUGGACUAAAUGCAAUAUUUAAAAAUGCAUGUUUCUCUAAUUCAACCAAAUAAAAUUGCAAAAAAAAUUCAAAUAAAAUAAUUUAACUUCCAAAUUUCUUUUCCAACAUUUCUCCUCUGUUUUGAAGAAGUCCUUUUAUCUUCUCUCUUUUAUUUUUAUUGUUUUUGAAAUAAUUGGAAAGAAUUUGUUGAAAUCAAAUUGAUCCAUUUUUUCAAAUUUGAAUAAAUUCAAAAAUGAAAAUUUAUGAAACCUCCAUCUCUCUCCUUGGGUCCUUGAGUUGCUUAAGAUUUCUUGGAUCGUAACCAAAUAAAAUCCAAAAUGCAAAUAAAUAAUGAAUGCAUAUGAAUUAUCUAUGUAUAACAUCCAAAUUGAGAAAUUGGGUUGUUACACACCAUCAAGGUUUACCACACUUGAGUGAUGGCUUUACACUUCAUAAAUAAGUGGCUUACACCUUCAUUUUGUGUUGUAGGGUGAAAUCCUAGGUGGUAAUCUUCUUCACACUUGAAAGGGGAAGAGGGAAAUCAAGCACAAAAACAAGAGGAAAACACUUGUUUGAGAUCGAAAAGAAAAAUGAUCGAACUCUCCUCUUUGCAUUAGUGAAGUGCUAUAUAUAGCACUGGAACAUGCGUUUACAAGGGGGUGCCGAGGUGUCGGUUCGUACAGAGUGACGCAACGAUUGCAGAAAGCAACCGUCAAUAGUUAUUACAAGCAGGGAUUAAUCCCUUAAUUACUAUGUUAAUUAAUCUUAACACUCCCCCUAAUCCAUGCUUGUCCAGGUAGCAUCAUCGUCUUGAAAGAGUCUCCUCCAAAAACCCAAUGGGAAAAAUAUGAGGAGUAUAGUGUUUGAUAUGUUGCUAGAACUCCUUCAAACCUAGUGGAAAAAAUAAGGAGAAAAUAAUACAAAAUAUAAUAGUCAUUGCCUCUUUCAACUCAAUAUGAGAAACCCAUAGAGUUCAGAGGACAAUAAAUAUGCCAUAUAUACUUCCCUUAAAGCCCCAGUGGGGAAAACAAAAAGUAUGACAUGAAAACCUCAUGUUGAUAUUACCUCAUUAAAAACCUUUAUGUGUACUUGUAAAGUAAACUCAUGAAGGGAAAAAGAAUAUAAUAUGAGGCUUUAAACAGGAACAAUUCAGGAAGGUACCCCCCGUGAUUCUUGCAAAUUCCGAAGCCGUCACAUACCAAUCCCAUGAACAUAUUUCUGAAAUGUAGAAGUUGGUAGAGACUUGGUGAACAAAUUGUUGGGGGGCGUAGUAAUUUCAAAUUUUUUUCCUACGCACACGCAAGAUCAUGUUGAUGCAUAGCAACGAGAGGGGAGAGUGUUGUCCACGUACCCUCGUAGACCGAAAGCGGAAGCGUUAGCACAACGCGAUUGAUGUAGUCGUACGUCCUCAUGGUCCGACCGAUCCAAGUACCGAACGUACGACACCUCCGAGUUCAGCACAUGUUCAGCUCGAUGACGUCCCACGAACUCCGAUCCAGCAUAGCUUUGCAGGAGAGUAUCGUCAGCACAACGGCGUGAUGACGGUGUCGAUGAUGCUACCGAUGUAGGGCUUCUCCUAAGCACCGCUACGAUAUUACCGAGGUGAAAUAUGGUGGAGGGGGGCACCGCACACGGCUGGGAGAGAUCAACAGAUCAACUUGUGUCUAGAGGUGCCCCUGCCCCCGUAUAUAAAGGAGCAAGGGGGGAGAGGCGGCCGACAAAGGAGGGCGCGCCAAGGGGGGAGUCCUACUCCCACCGGGAGUAGGACUCCUCCUUUCCUUGUAGGAGUAGGAGAGGGGAAGGAAGGGAGAGAGGAGGAGAAGGAAAGAAGGGGGGCGCCGCCCCCUCCUUGUCCAAUUCGAACUAGAGGGGGAGGGUGCAUGCGGCUGCCCGGUACGCCCCUCCUCUUCUCCCACCAAGGCCCAUUAGGCCCAAUAUACUCCCUGGGGGGUUCCGCUAACCCCCCGGUACUCCGGCAAAUGUCUGAAACCUCCCGAAACACCGAUGUCCGAACAUAGGCAUCCAAUAUAUCGAUCUUUAUGUCUCGAACAUUUCGAGACUCCUCGUCAUGUCCGUGAUCAUAUCCGGGACUCCGAACUACCUUCGGUACAUCAAAACACAAAAACUCAUAAUAUCGAUCGUCACCAAACUUUAAGCGUGCGGACCCUACGGGUUCGAGAACUAUGUAGACAUGACCGAGACACGUCUCCGGUCAAUAACCAAUAGCGGAACCUGGAUGCUCAUAUUGGUUCCCACAUAUUCUACGAAGAUCUUUAUUGGUCAAACCGCAUAACUACAUACGUUGUUCCCUUUGUCAUCGGUAUGUUACUUGCCCGAGAUUCGAUCGUCGGUAUCUCAAUACCUAGUUCAAUCUCGUUACUGGCAAGUCUCUUUACUCGUUAUGUAAUGCAUCAUCCUGCAACUAACUCAUUAGUCACAUUGCUUGCAAGGCUUAUAGUGAUGUGCAUUACCGAGAGGGCCCAGAGAUACAUCUCCGAAAUCGGAGUGACAAAUCCUAAUCUCGAAAUACGUCAACUCAACAAGUACCUUCGGAGACACCUGUGGAGCACCUUUAUAAUCACCCAAUUACAUUGUGACGUUUGGUAGCACACAAAGUGUUCCUCCGGUAAGCGGGAGUUACAUAAUCUCAUAGUCACAGGAACAUGUAUAAGUCAUGAAGAAAGCAAUAGCAACAUACUAAACGAUCAAGUGCUAAGCUAACGGAAUGGGUCAAGUCAAUCACAUCAUUCUUCUAAUGAUGUGAUCCCAUUGAUCAAACGAUAACUCAUAUCUAUGGUUAGGAAACUCAACCAUCUUUGAUCAAUGAGCUAGUCAAGUAGAGGCAUACUAGUGACACUAUGUUUUGUCUAUGUAUUCACACAUGUAUCAUGUUUCCGGUUAAUACAAUUCUAGCAUGAAUAAUAAACAUUUAUCAUGAUAUGAGGAAAUAAAUAAUAACUUUAUUAUUGCCUCUAGGGCAUAUUUCCUUGAGUCUCCCACUUGCACUAGAGUCAAUAAUCUAGACUACACAGUAAUGAUUCUAACACCCAUGGAGUCUUGGUGCUGAUCAUGUUUUGCUCGUGGAAGAGGCUUAGUCAACGGGUCUGCAACAUUCAGAUCCGUAUGUAUCUUGCAAAUCUCUAUGUCUCCCACCUGGACUUGGUCCCGGAUGGAAUUGAAGCGUCUCUUGAUGUGCUUGGUUGUCUUGUGAAACCUAGAUUCCUUUGCCAAGGCAAUUGCACCAGUAUUGUCGCAAAAGAUUUUCAUUGGACCCGAUGCACUAGGUAUGGCACCUAGGUCGGAUAUGAACUCCUUCAUCCAGACUCCUUCAUUUGCUGCUUCCGAAGCAGCUAUGUACUCCGCUUCAUACGUAGAUCCCGCCACGGCGCUUUGUUUGGAACUGCACCAACUGACAACUCCACUGUUCAAUAUAAACACGUAUCCGGUUUGCGAUUUAGAAUCGUCCAGAUCAGUGUCAAAGCUUGCAUCAAUGUAACCAUUUACGACUAGCUCUUUGUCACCUCCAUAAACGAGAAACAUAUCCUUAGUUCUUUUCAGGUAUUUCAGGAUGUUCUUGACUGCUGUCUAGUGAACCACUCCUAGAUUACUUUGGUACCUUCCUGCUAAACUAAUAGCAAGGCAUACAUCAGGUCUGGUACACAACAUUGCAUACAUGAUAGAGCCUAUGGCCGAAGCAUAGGGGACAUCUUUCAUUUUCUCUCUAUCUUCUACAGUGGUCGGGCAUUGAGUCUGACUCAACUUCACACCUUGUAAUACACGCAAGAACCCUUUCUUUGCUUGAUCCAUUUUGAACUUCUUCAAAACUUUAUCAAGAUAUGUGCUUUGUGAAAGUCCAAUUAAGCGUCUUGAUCUAUCUCUAUAGAUCUUGAUGCCUGAUACAUCUCCAAUGUAUCUAUAAUUUUUGAUUGUUCCAUGCUAUUAUAUUACCCGUUUUGGAUGUUUAUGGGCUUUACUUUACACUUUUAUAUCAUUUUUGGGACUAACCUACUAACCGGAGGCCCAACCCGUAUUGCUUUUUUUUUGCCUAUUUCAGUGUUUCGAAGACAAGGAAUAUCAAACGGAGUCCAAACGGAAUGAAACCUUCGGGAGCGAUCUUUUUGGAACAAACGUGAUCCAGAGGACUUGGAGUGCAAGUCAAGAAGCAAUCGAGGAGGCCACGAGGGUGGAGGGUGCGCCCCCCUACUGGGCGCCCCCUAUCUCGUGGGCCCCUCGGGCAUCCACCGACCUACUUCUUCCUCGUUAUACCCACGUACCCCGAGAACAUCAGAGGCGACCACGAAAACCUAUUUCCACCACCGUAACCUUCUGUAUCCGCGAGAUUCCAUCUUGGAGCCUUCGCCGACGCUCCGCCGGAGGGGGAAUCAACCAUGGAGGGCUUCUACAUCAACACCAUAGCCUCUCCGAUGAGUUGUGAGUAGUUUACCACAAACCUUCGAGUCCAUAGUUAUUAGCUAGAUGGCUUCUUCUCUCUCUUUGAAGCUCAAUACCAUGUUCUCCUUGAUCUUCUUGGAGAUCUAUUCGAUGUAACUCUUUUUGCGGUGUGUUUGUCGAGAUCCGAUGAAUUGUGGGUUUAUGAUCAAGUUUAUCUAUGAGAAAUAUUUGAAUCUCCUCUGAAUCCUUUUAUGUGUGAUUAAGUUAUCUUUGCAAGUCUCUUCGAAUUAUCAGUUUGGUUUGGCCUACUAGAUUGAUCAUUCUUGCAAUGGGGGAAGUGCUUAGCUUUGGGUUCAAUCUUGCGGUGUCCUUUCCCAGUGACAACAGGGGCAGCAAGGCACACAUUGUAUUGUUGCCAUCAAGGAUAAAAAGAUGGGGUUUAUAUCAUAUUGCAUGAGUUUAUCCCUCUACAUCAUGUCAUCUUUCUUAAUGCGUUACUCUGUUCUUUAUGAACUUAAUACUCUAGACGCAUGCUGGAUAGCGGUCGAUGUGUGGAGUAAUGGUAGUAGAUGUAGGCAGGAGUCGGUCUACUUGUCACAGACGUGAUGCCUAUAUACAUGAUCAUGCCUAGAUAAUCUCAUAAUUAUUCGCUUUUCUAUCAAUUGCUCGACAGUAAUUUGUUCACCCACCGUAAUACUUAUGCUAUCUUGAGAGAAGCCACUAGUGAAACCUAUGGCCCCCGGGUCUAUAUUUUAUCAUAUAAGCUUUCAAUCUACUUUUAUUUGCAUCUUUACUUUUCCAAUCUAUAUUAUAAAAUACCAAAAAUAUAUUUAUCUUAUGAUAUUAUCUCUAUCAGAUCUCACUUUCGCAAGUGGCCGUGAAGGGAUUGAAAACCCCUUUAUUGCGUUGGUUGCAAGUUCUUGUUUGUUUGUGUAGGUGCGUGGGACUUUUGAGGAGCCUCCUACUGGAUUGAUACCUUGGUUCUCAAAAACUGAGGGAAAUCCUUACGCUACUAUUGCUGCAUGACCCUUUCCUCUUCAAGGAAAACCAACACAAGCUCAAUACGUAGCAAGAAGGAUUUCUGGCGCCGUUGCCGGAGAGGUCUUCGCUCAAGUCAAGACAUACCAAGUACCCAUCACAAACUCAUCUCCCUCGCAUUUACAUUAUUUGCCAUUUGCCUCUCGUUUUCCUCUCCCCCACUUCACCCUUGCCAUCUUUUUCCGCCCUCUCUUUCCCAAUCUCCUCUCUCUUUCGCUUGCCUUUUUGUUUGCUUGUGUGUUGGAUUACUUGUCGCGAUGGUGCAAGAUAAUACCAAAUUGUGUGAUUUCUCCAAUACCAAUAAUAAUGAUUUCCUUAGUACACCGAUUGCUCCUCUUAAUGAUGUUGAGUCUUGUGAAAUCAAUACUACUUUGCUGAAUCUUAUUAUGAAAGAUCAAUUCCCCGGCCUUCCUAGUGAAGAUGCCGCUACCCUUCUAAAAAACUUUGUUGAUUUGUGUGAGAUGCAAAAGAAGAAAGAUACGGAUAAUGAUAUUGUUAAAUUGAAGUUAUUUCCGUUUUCACUUAGAGAUCGUGCUAAAGUUUGGUUUUCGUCUUUGCCUAAGAAUAGUAUUGAUUCAUGGAAUAAGUGCAAAGAUGCUUUUAUCUCUAAGUAUUUUCCUCCCGCUAAGAUCAUCACUCUUAGGAACGAUAUUAUGAAUUUUAAACAACUUGAUCAUGAGCAUGUUGCCCAAUCUUCGGAAACAAUGAAAUUGAUGAUUCGCAAUUGCCCUACUCAUGGUUUGAAUUUAUGGAUGAUCAUACAAUUUUUUUAUGCUGGAUUGAAUUUUGCUUCUAGAAAUCUUUUAGAUUCGGCCACGGGAGGCACGUUUAUGAAAUCACCUUAGGAGAAGCUACAAAACUCCUUGAUAAUAUUAUGGCUAAUUAUUCUCAAUGGCACACCGAAAGAUGUACUAGUAAAAAAGUGCAUGCUAUAGAAGAAAUUAAUGUUUUGAGUGGAAAGAUGGAUGAACUUAUGAAAUUGUUUGCUACUAAGAGUGCUCCUAUUGAUCCCAAUGAUAUGCCUUUGUCUACUUUGAUUGAGAAUAAUAAUGAAUCUAUGGAUGUGAAUUUUGUUGGUAGGAAUAGUUUUGGAAACAAUGCUUAUAGAGGAAACUUUAAUCCUAGACCGUUCCCUAGUAAUUCCUCUAGUAAUUAUGGAAAUUCCUACAAUAAUUCUUAUGGUAAUUUUAAUAAGAUGCCCUCUGAUUUUGAGAAUAACGUGAAAGAAUUUGUGAUUUCUCAAAAGAAUUUUAAUGCCUUGGUUGAAGAAAAAUUGAUCAAAGUUGAUGAUUUGGCUAGGAACGUUGAUACGACUCUCGCUUGAUGUUGAUUCUUUGAAACUAAGAUCUACUCCUCCUAAGCAUGAUAUUAAUGAGUCUCUCAAAGCUAUGAGAAUUUCCAUUGAUGAGUGCAAAGAAAGAACCGCUAGAUUGCGUGCUAAGAAAGAUUGCUUUAUAAAAGCGUGUUCGUCUAGUUUCCAUGAAAAUAAUGAUGAAGAUCUUAAAGUUAUUGAUGUGUCCCCUAUUAGAUCUUUGUUUUGCAAUAUGAAUCUUAAUAAUGAUGGGAUUGGAGAUGAGUCAACUUUAGUUAAAAGGCGUCCCAAUGAUUCGGAGUUUUUAGAUCUUGAUGCUAAAUUUGGUAAAAGUGGGAUUGGAGAGGUCAAGACUUUAAACAACAUUGAACCCACUAUCUUGGAUUUCAAGGAAUUUAAUUAUGAUAAUUAUUCGUUAGAAGAUUGUAUUUCCUUGUUGCAAUCCGUUGUGAAUUCUCCUCAUGCUUAUAGUCAAAAUAAAACUUUUACCAAACAUAUUGUUGAUGCCUUGAUGCAAUCUUAUGAUGAAAAACUUAACUUGGAAGUUUCUAUACCUAGAAAACUUUAUGAUGAGUGGGAACCUACUAUAAAGAUUAAAAUUAAAGAUCAUGAGUGUUAUGCUUUAUGUGAUUUGGGUGCUAGUGUUUCCAUGAUUCCAAAAACUUUAUGUGAUAUUCUAGGCUUCCAUGAUCUUGAUGAUUGCUCUUUAAAUUUGCACCUUGCGGAUUCCACCAUUAAAAGCCAAUGGGAAGGAUCAAUGAUGGGAAGGAAUUUGGUGCCCGUAGAUUUUAUCAUUCUCGAUAUAGAUUGCAAUCUUUCUUGCCCUAUUAUUCUUGGUAGACCUUUCCUUAGAACGAUUGGUGCGAUUAUUGAUAUGAAGGAAGGGAAUAUUAGAUUUCAAUUUCCAUUAAGGAAAUGAUGCGGAGCAUCCUUCAGUCAUCCCCAUGGACCUUCCAUCGCCUCACCAAGCCUCAAGAGGACCCAUGACUAGACCACGUGCUAGAGCUCUCGAGACCGAGGUGACUUCUCUCCUUAAUGAUAUCUCAUAUGAUCCUCUCGAGACAUGGCUACUACCUCAACCCGGAAUGUUGUGCAUGAUUAGGUACCAAGAGGACCCUCCCGAGGAUGCACGUGAAGAUGGUCAAGACCCCAAGUCCGUGGAAGAAGAGAACCCAUGGAAGAAGGCAAGGACAGCCUACAGGCACCGGACAUCCGGCCCCUGGAGAUCCACAAGGCCAGGCAUCUGCAGAAGAAGCUACAGGGACCGAACAUCUGGUGUCCAGCCCGAACAUCCGGCCCCCACCGGAAAUCCGGCCUAAAUCCCGGACAUCCGGCACUGGUGUCCAGGGAGCACAGAAGCUUGCCCCAACAGCCCGGACAUCCGGCGUUUGCCCCGGACAUCCGGUGCCUCCUGAAGCCGCGGACAUCCGGCCCCUCCGAGCGGACAUCCGACGUCGCCCCUCAAGUGCACAGAAGAGUCAACUCCACUGGCCCGGACAUUGGCUACACAUUGGCUACACAUUGAUGUUUUGUCUUGGUCUGGGAAUACUUUGCGGUAAGCACUCUUCAGCACUAAUGAUUGCUAUACAUUGCAAUGUUUAAAGACCACUUUGAUGUUCUGACAUCUAUUUUGGUGAUUCAGGUGCUAUUGGCUACCUAGGAUCAACUCUUUUCGUGAGGAGAAUCUACAGAAACAUCAAAUGUGAUUAAUUUCCUGCUACACAUGUGGGGUGGGGGUGGAGCAGUAUCAGAUCAAAUCAUAUACGUGGAAGCGAGGCCUUCAGAAUUGAUUAAUGCUAGUUCCUGAUUAGGGUUUCAGAACUACGUCACGUUUGCUUAUUCCAUCACACCCCUUCUUUUUGCAUACUUAUUUGUUCCCUGGAGCUGCUCUCAUAGUGUAUACAUCUAUGGUAGCUGAGUUCAGUACAAGUGGAUGGUGCAGGUUCUUAUUUUUCUUUGUUUCUUGCCUUUUUUUUGUUGCAUUCCUCCUUUUCAAAUGAGAAAGAAAUAGGAAGUGAGUAUCCAUGCGGCAAUGUCUGGACUUCCCCUCUGAAUCGUUACAUCCAAUUUAAGGAUGGCAUGUACUACGUGAGAUCUGUGUAUUUAUAUACAUAUAUCAACAUUUAAUGCAUGAGAGUGUAUAUGUGUGUCCUCUUAUCAUGUUCGAGAAAAACGGUGAAAAUCCUUCCGUUGUAGUGCUUUUGUACCUGCGGUAUUUAAU
rnacentral:lncRNA from 1 species